UACGGAGGGUGCAAACGUUGCUCGGAAUCAUUGGGCGUAAAGGGUGCGUAGGCGGUCUGACAAGUCUGAUGUGAAAUCUAUGGGCUCAACCCAUAGUCUGCAUCGGAAACUGUCGGGCUUGAGUAUGGGAGAGGUGAGUGGAAUUUCCGGUGUAGCGGUGAAAUGCGUAGAUAUCGGAAGGAACACCUGUGGCGAAAGCGGCUCACUGGACCAUUACUGACGCUGAGGCACGAAAGCUAGGGGAGCAAACAGG
rnacentral:rRNA from 1 species